rnacentral:tRNA from 1 species
AGCCAAUUCACAAUCAGUGGUUUGAGUGCUGGACUACGACUCUGGAGACCAGGGUUCAAUUCCCAGCUUAGCCA